rnacentral:rRNA from 1 species
AGAGUUGAUCUGGCUCAGAAUGAACGUGGCGGCGUGGAUUAGGCAUGCGAGUCGUGCGAGAACCGUAGCAAUACGGGGACAGCGGCGAAAGGGAGAGGAACACGUGGAUACCUACCCUCAGGUUCAGGAUAGCCAUGGGAAACUAUGGGUAAUACUGAAUAACAUCUCCGGAUCAAAGGUGUGAUUCCGCCGGAGGAGGGGUCCGCGUCCUAUUAGCUAGUUGGUGAGGUAACGGCUCACCAAGGCGAAGAUGGGUACGGGAUGUGAGAGCAUAAUCCCGCUCAUUGGGACUGAGACACUGCCCAGACACCUACGGGUGGCUGCAGUCGAGAAUCUUCGGCAAUGGGGGAAACCCUGACCGAGCGACGCCGCGUGUGAGAUGAAGGCCUUCGGGUUGUAAAUCACUGUCGUAGAGGAGGAAAUACUGGUGGGUUCUCCCAUCAGCUUGACCUAUUCUAGGAGGAAGGACGGGCUAAGUUCGUGCCAGCAGCCGCGGUAAUACGGACCGUCCAAACGUUAUUCGGAAUCACUGGGCUUAAAGGGUGCGUAGGCGGUUCGGGAAGUUGGGUGUGAAAUACCUCGGCUCAACCGAGGAACUGCGCCCAAAACUGCCGAGCUGGAGGGAGACAUAGG